GAUCAAGAAGAAGAAACUGAAUUAUGUCAUCUCUGUGAAGUCUUCUCUAGUGUCACAACCUCCAAUCUAUCUUCCAGGAGAAGGAAGAAGAGACAGCAGUGCUGUGAGUUUUCUGGGCUGCAUGGCCAUGCUCCAGAAGCAUUCUCUCCUGACGUCUCACCCACAUCUAUUGCAGGCAUCCUCAGGGGUUGUGAGGUCUGCUGGAAACUAAGUAAGUGGGGUCUAUAUAUAUGUGGAAUGUCCAGGGUGGGAGAAAGAACUCCUGUCUUCUUGAAGCAAGUGUGAAUGUUGCAAUUGACCACCUUAAUUAGCAUUUAAUGGCCUUGCAGCUUCAAA
rnacentral:lncRNA from 11 species